AACGAACGCUGGCGGCAUGCCUAACACAUGCAAGUCGAACGAUGCCUUCGGGCAUAGUGGCGCACGGGUGCGUAACGCGUGGGAAUCUGCCUUUCGGUUCGGAAUAACUCAGGGAAACUUGAGCUAAUACCGGAUAACGUCGCAAGACCAAAGAUUUAUCACCGAAAGAUGAGCCCGCGUAGGAUUAGCUAGUUGGUGAGGUAAAGGCUCACCAAGGCGACGAUCCUUAGCUGGUCUGAGAGGAUGAUCAGCCACACUGGGACUGAGACACGGCCCAGACUCCUACGGGAGGCAGCAGUGGGGAGUAUUGGACAAUGGGCGAAAGCCUGAUCCAGCAAUGCCGCGUGAGUGAUGAAGGCCUUAGGGUUGUAAAGCUCUUUUACCCGGGAAGAUAAUGACGGUACCGGGAGAAUAAGCCCCGGCUAACUCCGUG
rnacentral:rRNA from 1 species